GUAAAAGCAGUGUUUGGCAUGUGUGUGUUUCGAUGCAGCAUCACGCUUUUAGUAUUUCACUCUUCUGCCUUGUCAGUGGUGUGUUGCAAUAUUUGCACUUCCUGUCAGUGUGUGAAUGUGGUAAUGUGUUAAACCUGCAGUGUGUAUAGUGUGUGGAUUUGGGUCCUCAGUAAGAUUUGUCAUGUCGCUGAAGUGUCUCUGCUUAUGGAGUUAUUAAAAAUGCUGUUGUGUUUUUAUCUUCUCCUUCUUCACAUCACUGAAGAUCAUGUUGUCUGUUCAUGAUGUCAUAUGCAGUUACAUCCUUACUGUGGACUUAAGUAAGUUGUGGACAUUAGUGAGUUGUGG